rnacentral:rRNA from 1 species
AUUGAACGCUGGCGGCACGCCUAACACAUGCAAGUCGAGCGGCAGCGCGAUAUGUAGCAAUACAUAUUGGCGGCGAGCGGCGGACGGGUGAGGAACACGUAGGAACCUACCCUCGAGUGGGGGAUAACCAAGGGAAACUUUGGCUAAUACCGCAUGAUUUCGAGAGAGCAAAGCUGCCGCAAGGUGGCGCUCGAGGAGGGGCCUGCGUCCGAAUAGCUAGUUGGUGAGGUAAGAGCUCACCAAGGCGAUGAUCGGUAACUGGUCUGAGAGGACGACCAGUCACACUGGGACUGAGAUACGGCCCAGACUCCUACGGGAGGCAGCAGUGGGGAAUAUUGGACAAUGGGGGCAACCCUGAUCCAGCGAUGCCGCGUGAGUGAAGAAGGCCUUCGGGUCGUAAAGCUCUUUAGGUUGGGAAGAAGAGUGAUGGAGGAAAUGCUAUCACUUUGACGGUACCGACAGAAUAAGCACCGGCAAACUCUGUGCCAGCAGCCGCAGUAAAAC